rnacentral:rRNA from 1 species
AAUAGAUACCCGGGUAGUCCACGCCGUAAACGAUGGAUGCUAGCUGUAGGGGGUAUCGACCCCUUCUGUAGCGAAGCUAACGCGUUAAGCAUCCCGCCUGUGGAGUACGGCCGCAAGGCUAAAACAUAAAGGAAUUGACGGGGACCCGCACAAGCGGUGGAUCGUGUUCUUUAAUUCGAUGAUAAACGGAGAACCUUACCAGGGCUUGACAUCCUUGGAAUUUCUGCGAAAGCAGUUAGUGCCUUUUGGAACCAAGUGACAGGUGAUGCAUGGCCGUCGUCAGCUCGUGUCGUGAGAUGUUUGGUUAAGUCCAUCAACGAGCGCAACCCUUAUGUUUAGUUGUAUUUUUCUAAACAGACUGCCCCGGUAACGGGGAGGAAGGAGGGGAUGAUGUCAGGUCAGUAUUUCCCUUACGUCCUGGGCUAGAAACACGAUACAAUGGCUAGUACAAUGCGCAGCGAAGCCGCGAGGUGGAGCAAAUCGCACCAAAGCUAGUCCCAGUUCGGAUUGGAGGCUGAAACUCGCCUCCAUGAAGUCGGAAUCGCU